GCGCCUGUAGCUCAAGGGAUAGAGCAUCUGCCUUCUAAGCAGAGGGUUGCCCGUUCGAAUCGGGCCAGGCGUA
rnacentral:tRNA from 1 species